GCGAAGGUGGCGGAAUUGGUAGACGCGCUAGCUUCAGGUGUUAGUGUCCUUACGGACGUGGGGGUUCAAG
rnacentral:tRNA from 2 species